AGGGUCUGAGAGUAACGUAAUUUCGAUUCAUGUGGUUGAAUUGACAAUAAAGCUGACUGUGACUUUGACACUGUGACCUAAUAACCAAUAUUUUUUUCUGAUUUUCAGAUUAUUGGCAAUGCAAUUGUAUCCCGUAAACUGACUGCGCACAUCUCCUUCACCAACCCCUUACCUAUUAAUCUUCAAGGGGGUGUGUUUACUGUGGAGGGAGCAGGACUUACAGAGGCCAGAGAAAUAAAAACACAUGGCAAGAUUGAAUCUGGGCAGACUGUGACUGUUAAAUUCUCCUUCAAACCCACCCGCGCUGGCCUGAGGAAGCUGCUCGUGGACUUUGACUCGGACAGACUUAGAGAUGUCAAGGGAGAAGCCUCUGUCAUUGUUCGGACAAGAAUGCGACAUGUAAAUGCUGUCCCAGAAAUUUAGACAAGCAUGCACAGUUCAGAGACGUGCACAUCAGAAUACUUCACUGUAAAUGUAGUUAAUGCGAUAUACUUAAUGACAGCUCUUUUGCUUAUUACAUCAUUUGUUGGCUGUUUGUUUAUUCUGAGGAGUUCUCUUUAAAAUUACUUUAUGACGUCACUAUGAUAUUUUACCAUGCUUUCUUUCAUGCAGACCUUGAAUAUAAGAACCACAAAAGCUAUUUUUGUAAAAUGCAGAGUUAUGUGAAUACACGCUUGCUUUUAUUAUAUAAAAUGUUAAUCUGAUUAAGAAAUUUGUGAAGUAAUUGUUUUUGUACUUUCUGUAUAAUGUUGUUGUGUUUGAUUUGAAAAUAAAAUACAUACUUUUAAUUAUGAAA